GAUGUGUCGUUCCCUACGAAACAUUUGCAUAUGUGUGUAGGUGUGUGUGUGUGUGUGUGUGCGUGCACAUAUAUGAACACACACUCACACACACAAAUAUACA
rnacentral:miRNA from 1 species